rnacentral:rRNA from 1 species
UACGGAGGCAGCAGUGGGGAAUAUUGCACAAUGGGCGCAAGCCUGAUGCAGCCAUGCCGCGUGUAUGAAGAAGGCCUUCGGGUUGUAAAGUACUUUCAGUCGUGAGGAAGGUGUUAAGGUUAAUAACCUUAGCAAUUGACGUUAGCGACAGAAGAAGCACCGGCUAACUCCGUGCCAGCAGCCGCGGUAAUACGGAGGGUGCGAGCGUUAAUCGGAAUUACUGGGCGUAAAGGGCACGCAGGCGGUUAAUUAAGUUGGAUGUGAAAUCCCCGGGCUUAACCUGGGAAUGGCAUUCAAGACUGGUUAGCUAGAGUCUUGUAGAGGGGGUAGAAUUCCAUGUGUAGCGGUGAAAUGCGUAGAGAUGUGGAGGAAUACCGGUGGCGAAGGCGGCCCCUGGACAAAGGCUGACGCUCAUGUGCGAAAGCGUGGGGAGCAAACAGGGAUUAGAUACC